GACGAACGCUGGCGGCGUGCCUAAUACAUGCAAGUCGAACGCAUUUUCUUUCACCGUAGCUUGCUACACCGAAAGAAAAUGAGUGGCGAACGGGUGAGUAACACGUGGGUAACCUGCCCAUCAGCGGGGGAUAACACUUGGAAACAGGUGCUAAUACCGCAUAAUUCCAUUUACUGCAUGGUAGAUGGAUGAAGGGCGCUUUUGCGUCACUGAUGGAUGGACCCGCGGUGCAUUAGCUAGUUGGUGGGGUAACGGCCUACCAAGGCUGCGAUGCAUAGCCGACCUGAGAGGGUGAUCGGCCACACUGGGACUGAGACACGGCCCAGACUCCUACGGGAGGCAGCAGUAGGGAAUCUUCGGCAAUGGACGCAAGUCUGACCGAGCAACGCCGCGUGAGUGAAGAAGGUUUUCGGAUCGUAAAACUCUGUUGUUAGAAAAGAACAAGGAUGAGAGUGGAAAGUUCAUCCCUUGACGGUAUCAAACCAGAAAGCCACGGCUAACUACGU
rnacentral:rRNA from 1 species